GAUGAAGAACGCAGCGAAAUGCGAUAAGUAAUGUGAAUUGCAGAAUUCAGUGAAUCAUCGAAUCUUUGAACGCACCUUGCGCUCCUUGGUAUUCCGAGGAGCAUGCCUGUUUGAGUGUCAUUAAUAUAUCAACCUUCUCUUUUUUGAGUUGUUUGGAUGUGGGGGUUUGCUGGCCUCUUAAAUGAUUCAGCUCCCCUGAAAUGCAUUAGCAGAACAACCUGUUCAUUAGCGUGAUAAUUAUCUAUGCUAUUGAAUGUGAGGGCAGUUCAGCUUUCUAACCGUCCUUGGACAAUUCCUCAUUAAUGUGACCUCAAAUCAGGUAGGACUACCCGCUGAACUUAAGCAUAUCAAUAAGCGGAGGA
rnacentral:misc_RNA from 1 species